UACGUAGGGUGCAAGCGUUAAUCGGAAUUACUGGGCGUAAAGCGUGCGCAGGCGGUUUUGUAAGUCUGUUGUGAAAUCCCCGGGCUCGACCUGGGAAUGGCAAUGGAGACUGCAAGGCUAGAGUUUGGCAGAGGGGGGUAGAAUUCCACGUGUAGCAGUGAAAUGCGUAGAUAUGUGGAGGAACACCGAUGGCGAAGGCAGCCCCCUGGGUCAAAACUGACGCUCAUGCACGAAAGCGUGGGGAGCAAACAGG
rnacentral:rRNA from 1 species